CCUACGGGAGGCAGCAGUGGGGGAUAUUGCACAAUGGGGGGAACCCUGAUGCAGCGACGCCGCGUGGGUGAAGAAGCGUUUCGGCACGUAAAGCUCUAUCAGCAGGGAAGAAAAUGACGGUACCUGAAGAAGAAGCCCCGGCUAACUACGUGCCAGCAGCCGCGGUAAUACGUAGGGGGCAAGCGUUAUCCGGAUUUACUGGGUGUAAAGGGGGCGCAGACGGCAGUGCAAGCCAGGAGUGAAAUCCCAGGGCCUAACCCUGGGACUGCUCUGGGAACUGCGUGGCUGGAGUGCAGGAGGGGCAGGCGGAAUUCCUGGUGUAGCGGUGAAAUGCGUAGAUAUCAGGAGGAACACCAGUGGCGAAGGCGGCUUGCUGGACUGCAACUGACGUUGAGGCCCGAAAGCGUGGGGAGCAAACAGGAUUAGAUACCCUUGUAGUC
rnacentral:rRNA from 1 species